AUUGAACGCUGGCGGCAGGCCUAACACAUGCAAGUCGAGCGGCAGCGGGAAAGUAGCUUGCUACUUUUGCCGGCGAGCGGCGGACGGGUGAGUAAUGCCUGGGGAUCUGCCCAGUCGAGGGGGAUAACUACUGGAAACGGUAGCUAAUACCGCAUACGCCCUACGGGGGAAAGCAGGGGACCUUCGGGCCUUGCGCGAUUGGAUGAACCCAGGUGGGAUUAGCUAGUUGGUGAGGUAACGCCUCACCAAGGCGACGAUCCCUAGCUGGUCUGAGAGGAUGAUCAGCCACACUGGAACUGAGACACGGUCCAGACUCCUACGGGAGGCAGCAGUGGGGAAUAUUGCACAAUGGGGGAAACCCUGAUGCAGCCAUGCCGCGUGUGUGAAGAAGGCCUUCGGGUUGUAAAGCACUUUCAGCGAGGGGGAAAGGUCAGUAGCUAAUAUCUGCUGGCUGUGACGUUACUCGCAGAAGAAGCACCGGCUAACUCCGUGCCAGCCGCCGCAGUAAUAC
rnacentral:rRNA from 1 species